rnacentral:rRNA from 1 species
AGCGGCGGACGGGUGAGUAAUGUCUGGGAAACUGCCUGAUGGAGGGGGAUAACUACUGGAAACGGUAGCUAAUACCGCAUAACGUCGCAAGACCAAAGAGGGGGACCUUCGGGCCUCUUGCCAUCAGAUGUGCCCAGAUGGGAUUAGCUAGUAGGUGGGGUAAUGGCUCACCUAGGCGACGAUCCCUAGCUGGUCUGAGAGGAUGACCAGCCACACUGGAACUGAGACACGGUCCAGACUCCUACGGGAGGCAGCAGUGGGGAAUAUUGCACAAUGGGCGCAAGCCUGAUGCAGCCAUGCCGCGUGUGUGAAGAAGGCCUUCGGGUUGUAAAGCACUUUCAGCGAGGAGGAAGGUGGUGAACUUAAUACGUUCAUCAAUUGACGUUACUCGCAGAAGAAGCACCGGCUAACUCCGUGCCAGCAGCCGCGGUAAUACGGAGGGUGCAAGCGUUAAUCGGAAUUACUGGGCGUAAAGCGCACGCAGGCGGUUUGUUAAGUCAGAUGUGAAAUCCCCGGGCUCAACCUGGGAACUGCAUUUGAAACUGGCAAGCUAGAGUCUCGUAGAGGGGGGUAGAAUUCCAGGUGUAGCGGUGAAAUGCGUAGAGAUCUGGAGGAAUACCGGUGGCGAAGGCGGCCCCCUUGGACGAAGACUGACGNNNNNNNNNNNNNNNNGUGGGGAGCAAACAGGAUUAGAUACCCUGGUAGUCCACGCUGUAAACGAUGUCGAUUUGGAGGUUGUGCCCUUGAGGCGUGGCUUCCGGAGCUAACGCGUUAAAUCGACCGCCUGGGGAGUACGGCCGCAAGGUUAAAACUCAAAUGAAUUGACGGGGGCCCGCACAAGCGGUGGAGCAUGUGGUUUAAUUCGAUGCAACGCGAAGAACCUUACCUACUCUUGACAUCCAGAGAACUUUCCAGAGAUGGAUUGGUGCCUUCGGGAACUCUGAGACAGGUGCUGCAUGGCUGUCGUCAGCUCGUGUUGUGAAAUGUUGGGUUAAGUCCCGCAACGAGCGCAACCCUUAUCCUUUGUUGCCAGCGGUUCGGCCGGGAACUCAAAGGAGACUGCCAGUGAUAAACUGGAGGAAGGUGGGGAUGACGUCAAGUCAUCAUGGCCCUUACGAGUAGGGCUACACACGUGCUACAAUGGCAUAUACAAAGAGAAGCGACCUCGCGAGAGCAAGCGGACCUCAUAAAGUAUGUCGUAGUCCGGAUUGGAGUCUGCAACUCGACUCCAUGAAGUCGGAAUCGCUAGUAAUCGUAGAUCAGAAUGCUACGGUGAAUACGUUCCCGGGCCUUGUACACACCGCCCGUCACACCAUGGGAGUGGGUUGCAAAAGAAGUAGGUA